rnacentral:rRNA from 1 species
GAAUGCUGACAUAAGUAACGAUAAAGCGGGUGAAAAGCCCGCUCGCCGGAAGACCAAGGGUUCCUGUCCAACGUUAAUCGGGGCAGGGUGAGUCGACCCCUAAGGCGAGGCCGAAAGGCGUAGUCGAUGGGAAACGGGUUAAUAUUCCCGUACUUGGUGUUACUGCGAAGGGGGGACGGAGAAGGCUAUGUUGGCCGGGCGACGGUUGUCCCGGUUUAAGCGUGUAGGUGUGUGUUCCAGGUAAAUCCGGUUCACUUUAACACUGAGGCGUGAUGACGAGGCACUACGGUGCUGAAGCAACAAAUGCCCUGCUUCCAGGAAAAGCCUCUAAGCAUCAGGUAACACGAAAUCGUACCCCAAACCGACACAGGUGGUCAGGUAGAGAAUACCAAGGCGCUUGAGAGAACUCGGGUGAAGGAACUAGGCAAAAUGGUGCCGUAACUUCGGGAGAAGGCACGCUGACACGUAGGUGAAGUGAUUUACUCAUGGAGCUGAAGUCAGUCGAAGAUACCAGCUGGCUGCAACUGUUUAUUAAAAACACAGCACUGUGCAAACACGAAAGUGGACGUAUACGGUGUGACGCCUGCCCGGUGCCGGAAGGUUAAUUGAUGGGGUCAGCGCAAGCGAAGCUCCUGAUCGAAGCCCCGGUAAACGGCGGCCGUAACUAUAACGGUCCUAAGGUAGCGAAAUUCCUUGUCGGGUAAGUUCCGACCUGCACGAAUGGCGUAAUGAUGGCCAGGCUGUCUCCACCCGAGACUCAGUGAAAUUGAACUCGCUGUGAAGAUGCAGUGUACCCGCGGCAAGACGGAAAGACCCCGUGAACCUUUACUAUAGCUUGACACUGAACAUUGAGCCUUGAUGUGUAGGAUAGGUGGGAGGCUUUGAAGUGUGGACGCCAGUCUGCAUGGAGCCGACCUUGAAAUACCACCCUUUAAUGUUUGAUGUUCUAACGUGGACCCGUAAUCCGGGUUGCGGACAGUGUCUGGUGGGUAGUUUGACUGGGGCGGUCUCCUCCUAAAGAGUAACGGAGGAGCACGAAGGUUGGCUAAUCCUGGUCGGACAUCAGGAGGUUAGUGCAAUGGCAUAAGCCAGCUUGACUGCGAGCGUGACGGCGCGAGCAGGUGCGAAAGCAGGUCAUAGUGAUCCGGUGGUUCUGAAUGGAAGGGCCAUCGCUCAACGGAUAAAAGGUACUCCGGGGAUAACAGGCUGAUACCGCCCAAGAGUUCAUAUCGACGGCGGUGUUUGGCACCUCGAUGUCGGCUCAUCACAUCCUGGGGCUGAAGUAGGUCCCAAGGGUAUGGCUGUUCGCCAUUUAAAGUGGUACGCGAGCUGGGUUUAGAACGUCGUGAGACAGUUCGGUCCCUAUCUGCCGUGGGCGCUGGAGAACUGAGGGGGGCUGCUCCUAGUACGAGAGGACCGGAGUGGACGCAUCACUGGUGUUCGGGUUGUCAUGCCAAUGGCACUGCCCGGUAGCUAAAUGCGGAAGAGAUAAGUGCUGAAAGCAUCUAAGCACGAAACUUGCCCCGAGAUGAGUUCUCCCUUGGACUUUAAGUCCACUGAAGGAACGUUGAAGACGACGACGUUGAUAGGCCGGGUGUGUAAGCGCAGCGAUGCGUUGAGCUAACCGGUACUAAUGAACCGUGAGGCUUAACCUUACAACGCCGAAG